UUAAAUCCAGAUUGUUCUUCAAUGGUCACCUAUAACAUUGAAUUCGUUUUUCUAUAGGUUUAAUGGUUCUUCUCCAAAAGGGGUCACAAACCUUGUGCAUGUAGGGAAUGAGCAGAAAAGAUGUCAAAAACCAGCUGUGGUUAUAACCUCAUCAAGCACUCCAGUUUCAAAUCUUUUACCUGCUGGAAGUCUAUAAAAAAAUCAUAAUUUUUUACCCUUUUCCAUUUUUUAUAAAAAGGUGGAUAAUUUACACUUUUACAGGUAGUGGAAUCUUCUCAAGAUUUUUUACCUCUUCUAUUACUCACAACGGAUCGCCCCCCUGAGCUUUUGGAAAGUGGAGCCAACCAAGCAAUUAACCAACUUAUAUAUCUAGAAAGGAACACACAGUACUUUUGAACAACAAGAAUGGGCAGCUAAAAUUGUUGAUUCUUUGAAGGUAUAAUGUCCUUAUUCAGACAACAAUUAAUGUGAAAAAAGAAAGAAUUCAAUAAUCAAAUACUUUUUUGAUGAUUUUUUUAUGUUGUCUUUGAUGAGCAUGGGGUAUAAUCAAAAUUCCAAAAUGAAGGAACAGAAAGCUGAUCAACGUUUUGGCUUGGAUUUGGAGGGAACCAAAGCUUCACUAGCACCAAAGUAUCACUGGAGACUUCUAGAUUUCCUCACUUGUUUGCAUUCUCGCUCAUUAAAGGUUUCAAUUUCACAAACAUAUAAUAAUACCACUUUAGUUUUACUUUUUUUUUCUUUUAUUAUUAUUGUUAAUUAAGAUUGAAGAAGUUUACAACUUUGAUCAAGAUGACCUGUUGCCCGAGGAUAUGUUGAUAUUAGAUACACAUGCUGAGGUGUUCGUUUGGAUCUCAUGAUGGAUUGUCGCCACAUGGAACAGGCACGCCAAGUUGAUGCAAAUAAGAAUCCAUAUGAUCCUCAAGCUGCAGAAAGAUUUCAGGAAAGUAUUUGAUCCUUCAUUAGAAAAUAAAAGGUAACUAUAAAGGGUAUUUCUGGCUGAAUGAGUACGAAACUAAGGGCAUUUAUGGAAAUCACAGAUUACUAUAGCAAAAGGUAACUAUAAAGGGUUAAUUGCAAGAAAAAAAAGUACAAUUGAUGUAAUGGAAAUAAAUGAAAGCAUGAUGAUGUAAUCUACAAAGAGAUAAAGAAAUACAUAGAAUGGGCUGGAUCUCUUGAUGGAUUGUCGCCACAUGUGCCAUUAUACAAAGUAAUGGAGGAAAAUGAACCUUGUUUCUUCACAACAUAUUUCUCAUGGGAUCCUUUUAAACCAUCAUUGCUGUUGCUGAUUGGCUUCAAGAGUUAUAAUGAAUGAUGAGACUGUGCAUCAGUUGUGUAAACAGGCUGUUUCACAGUACACUAUAGAGGAGAAAGUCAUUGAAAGAGCUUAUAAAAAGCUUGCACUUGAUGCUUUGGUUAUUCAACAAUGACGUUUAGCUGAGCAAAAGAAUGAGAUGCUACAAAUGAUGAGGUUUGGUGCUGAAAUGGUAUUCAGUUCAAAGGAUAGUACAAUCACAGAUGAAGAUAUCGAUAGAAUCGUUGCUAAAGGAGAAAAGGCGACUGCUGGGCUGUUGGAAGUUGGAACUUUGUGAAUGAUUUUGUAAAUGCUGGCUUUGGUCAGGAUAAACUAAAGAGGUUCAUAUGGCCUUCCAGUUGGAGAAAUAAAGUUGAUCUUGCAUUAGGAGAUAUACAUGUUGCAAAGUGUAUCAAGUCUGACUACCCAUGUGUCCCACUGGAGGAAGCUCAAGGUUCUUUACUUCUCUUACAAUGUAAUAAUCCAUCUUCACACAUAUUUUGUAUUUUCUUUUCUUUUCUUUUCUUGCAAGCAAUAUAGAUACUUUGAGCAAGUUCAUAGAUUUAGAGUCAUUGAGUGGUGUUACUAAGGAAGAGUGGACACAAUUGAGGCACACAUUUAAAAAAAUCAGCACAAAUCUUGUUUAUAGUGAGGCACACAUUAGGUUAUUAGAACUAUUAGUUUGUAAAUUUUUGUUACAACUCUACUGAUUUGUUUUAUCUUUUUAUGGAACGAUUAUUUGUAUGACA